rnacentral:rRNA from 1 species
GAUGAACGCUGGCGGCGUGCUUAACACAUGCAAGUCGAACGAUGAAGCCCAGCUUGCCGGGUGGAUUAGUGGCGAACGGGUGAGUAACACGUGAGUAACCUGCCCUUAACUCUGGGAUAAGCCUGGGAAACUGGGUCUAAUACCGGAUAGGAGCGUCCACCGCAUGGUGGGUGUUGGAAAGAUUUAUCGGUUUUGGAUGGACUCGCGGCCUAUCAGCUUGUUGGUGAGGUAAUGGCUCACCAAGGCGACGACGGGUAGCCGGCCUGAGAGGGUGACCGGCCACACUGGGACUGAGAGACGGCCCAGACUCCUACGGGAGGCAGCAGUGGGGAAUAUUGCACAAUGGGCGCAAGCCUGAUGCAGCGACGCCGCGUGAGGGAUGACGGCCUUCGGGUUGUAAACCUCUUUCAGUAGGGAAGAAGCGAAAGUGACGGUACCUGCAGAAGAAGCACCGGCUAACUACGU